rnacentral:lncRNA from 1 species
UUCUCCACUUCCAUUGGCUGAUUCAGUUCUUAUACUCUCCAUAGGAAUUUCAUUAGUGACUGAGGCACAACUGAAUCUACCCUUCAGAACCACUAUCACCAUUUGUUCUCCGUCAGCAAGUGUCUAUCUUAUUUAACUUCAUAUACCCUGCUUUUGAGAACCUCAAUCAUAAGACAUUUAAGCAACAAAGAAUUGCUUCAAUCAACCUCAAGCACUCAUCAGGUCAUCAUUGGUUAUUACGAAAUGUAGAGAACCCAGGAAGGAGUGGUGGUCCAGAUCAGCCCAUGUGCAUCCAGAUAUACAUCCUGACCCAGAGGCUUGGGCAAACCUGCCCAACCAAGGUCUGCUCAGGAAACUGCUGCACAGAUGCCCCAGCUUCAGUGAGAAGCCUGCCCCGCAGAAUGGGUGAGUGUAC